UCUCCGUUGGUGAACCAGCGGAGGGAUCAUUACCGAGUUUACAACUCCCAAACCCCAUGUGAACCUUACCAAACGUUGCUUCGGCGGGAUGCCCCGGGCGCGGGCCGCAAGGCCUCAACCCCGGAACCAGGCGCCCGCCGGAGGCCCAAACCAAACUCUUGUUUUUGUAGAAUCUUCUGAGUGGCCUUUUAGGCAAAAAAUGAAUCAAAACUUUCAACAACGGAUCUCUUGGUUCUG
rnacentral:misc_RNA from 1 species